GUAGGUCGGUUCCUUGGCAGCCGGCGGGAGAGGCUGUGUGGGGUUAGGCUCCCCAGACAAGGGACUCUCUGCUGCAAAAGGGAGUCCUCCAUUUUAUGAAAAGCUGGGAAGAGCCAUCCAGUCAUGGUAUCUGCGAGGGAGUUUCCCCACGGUCAGGCCUCUGGGGGAAAAAAAAAACAUGUGUGGGAACAUCCAUUCUGCCCGAUUGCUGCUGCUUCUACUUGCUUCAGCAGUGGGAGAGAAUAGCACAUUAUGCCAGUACCAAGAGAUCACCAACAAGAACAGCAGCAGCUGUGGAGUGGAGCUAACCUGAGCCUGGGAGACAAUGAGCGUAAGGGGGGUAACCAACCUCCAACCUCGGGAGAUAUGCUGGGCACUUACUACAACUGAAGUCCUUACCUGGGAAGAUCCAGUGGCCCUGUGGACUGAUACUUCUAUUACAGCCCAAGCCAUGGAAGAGUUCCCCAUUCAUUUACAUUAACAGCAGAGGCUUCUUCAUUAAAAUGGAAAUGAUAUCUACUAGAUCGAAGAGAACUCAGCCCUAAUUGACUGUCACAAUUACAUGAGGAAACAUGCAUGGACUCUGCUAUUAUGCUGAACGUAUUAAGCCCUCCUCCCAAACGGUCUGCCUUUUGUGACAUGCAGAAAGUAAAAGGAACGAUCUCUUUUUACCUAGAGUCUGUACACGGGGUAUAAGGAAGCAAAUCUCUCAGGACUAUUAAAAUAAAAACCACAACUCAAAAAUUCCAGUUUGAGCUGGGCGUGGUGGCGCACGCCUUUAAUCCCAGCACUCGGGAGGCAGAGGCAGGUGGAUUUCUGAGUUCGAGGCCAGCCUGGUCUACAGAGUGAGUUCCAGGACAGCCAGGGCUAUACAGAGAAACCCUGUCUCAGAAAACCUAAAAAAAAAAAAAAAAUUCCAGUUUGGAGAACGUAGGAGGCUAAGGCAGAAGAACUGCCUCAACCUUAAGGCCAGCCUGGAGGUACGUUUGCUUUUGCUGGUAAGUUGUUCUGUUGUUUGAGCUCACUGAGACACUGGCCUUGAGAGUGGGACCAUGGCUCUCUAGUUCAUACACAAGCUUGUUUAUGUCAAAUGUCUUCUGAAGCCUGGUGUCUGGAGAUGGGGCUGGCACCUCCGGGUCUGUGACAAGGAAGAGAGAGAAGAGCAGACCAGCCUAAAUGUGAAGACACUGUGCCUCUGAGAAGAGCAAACUCUUUCCCACAGAUGCUACUAGUAGUUAUCCUGGGAUGGGAAAGUGCCUGCAGCGGGGUGGGAAAAAGAAGCUGAGCUUCAGCCAGGAAGCAAAAUUUGAGGCAGGACUUCCAGCUGCCUGAAAUUUCCCUACUCAGUUUCUUCUGGGUGAUGUGAGGGCUUGACUUUUUUUGAUGUUAUUUUAUUUGUUGUUUUACUUAGGAACUUCACAGGAGGGACACUAUGGUCUACGCAGACACGGAAUCAAUCCCUCCAUUGAGUACUUUUGCUGGUCAUCUUUAAGGGAGCUUUUCACUGGAUCCCUGCUAGAUGUUUUGAGGUUCAUGUUUGAUUAUAUUUUGAUCUCCUUCUAUCGAGUAGUUUAUGUUGGCUGGUUAUAUACUUAACAAACUCACUCAUUCAAAACAAAGAAUGUCUACUGUAGAUCAUUCUACGGACUGUACAGAAUCUCUACCUAAGAAGGAAGUGGCCAGCCAGGGAGACACAGGAAACUGUGUCUGUACUUGCCUGUCAACCCAGUCACCCAGUGGUAUGAGCAGAGAUUUAAGGCCUGCCUGAUCUGCAAGACCUUGUCUCAAAAAUGAAACACAAAUGACAUACAUACCAUUAUCAAGCCAGGCUUCAAUGUGCAUGCCUGUCAUCCUAGCAUUUGGGAGGGUGAAGCAGGAAGACCAUAAAUUUGAGCCCAGCCUGGGCUAGUGAGUUUUAGGCAGUUCUGAGAUACAUAGAGGGACACUGUGUUAAAAAAAUUAAGGAAAGAAAGAAAAUAAAAAUAAAACUCUAGAACA
rnacentral:lncRNA from 1 species